rnacentral:rRNA from 1 species
AUUGAACGCUGGCGGCAGGCCUAACACAUGCAAGUCGAGCGGAUGAAGGGAGCUUGCUCCUGGAUUCAGCGGCGGACGGGUGAGUAAUGCCUAGGAAUCUGCCUGGUCGUGGGGGAUAACGUCCGGAAACGGGCGCUAAUACCGCAUACGUCCUGAGGGAGAAAGUGGGGGAUCUUCGGACCUCACGCUAUCAGAUGAGCCUAGGUCGGAUUAGCUAGUUGGUGGGGUAAAGGCCUACCAAGGCGACGAUCCGAAACUGGUCUGAGAGGAUGAUCAGUCACACUGGAACUGAGACACGGUCCAGACUCCUACGGGAGGCAGCAGUGGGGAAUAUUGGACGAUGGGCGAAAGCCUGAUCCAGCCAUGCCGCGUGUGUGAAGAAGGUCUUCGGAUUGUAAAGCACUUUAAGUUGGGAGGAAGGGAAGUAAGUUAAUACCUUGCUGUUUUGACGUUACCAACAGAAUAAGCACCGGCUAACUUCGUG